rnacentral:rRNA from 1 species
GGCCCGCACAAGCGGUGGAGUAUGUGGUUUAAUUCGACGCAACGCGCAGAACCUUACCCAGUCUUGACAUCCUCAGAAGUCCUGUGAAAGCAGGAUGUGCCUCCUCACGGAGGAAUUGAGUGACAGGUGCUGCAUGGCUGUCGUCAGCUCGUGUCGUGAGAUGUUCGGUUAAGUCCGGCAACGAGCGCAACCCCUGUCGUUAGUUGCCAGCAAUUCGGUUGGGCACUCUAGCGAGACUCCCGGUGUUAAGCCGGCGGAAGAUGGGGAUGACGUCAAGUCCUCAUGGCCCUUAUGACUGGGGCUACACACGUACUACAAUGGCACUUACAGAGGGCAGCGAACUCGCGAGGGUAAGCCAAUCCCAAAAAAGUGCUCAGUUCGGAUUGGAGUCUGCAACUCGACUCCAUGAAGUUGGAAUCGCUAGUAA